GACAGAGGCCUCAAGCGUUAGGCGGAAUCACUGGGCUUAAAGCGUGCGCAGGCGGCUAUGCAAGACAGAUGUGAAAUCCCCGGGCUCAACCUGGGAACUGCAUUUGUGACUGCAUGGCUAGAGUACGGUAGAGGGGGAUGGAAUUCCGCGUGUAGCAGUGAAAUGCGUAGAUAUGCGGAGGAACACCGAUGGCGAAGGCAAUCCCCUGGACCUGUACUGACGCUCAUGCACGAAAGCGUGGGGAGCAAACAGG
rnacentral:rRNA from 1 species